AAUCGUAGGUGCGUGUGAUUUAGGACGGCCCCGUGUAGUCAAUCUGAUUUGAAACCCGGGUUUAAGGUUGAGUUGUGAACCGGGGAUAGCCCCCCUCACUGCCCGAAGGCUCCUGAAGUUUCCUGUUUAUUUAUAACUGUAUUCUUGUAUGCCAAGAUGCUGCGGCACCUGUCAACCAAAAUGAAAACUCAGGGUCAGUGUCUGCAACUUUCAGCCCCGUCGUCUCCAUGUACUUGCGGUGCCUGUUCCCCAGCUACCUCCAGAAAGGCCUGGAAGUGAUGACACAGAAAGUGCCUGCAGCACAGGUGAAAGCCAAAGGGAAAAGGUGAGACAUGAAGUGAGGCAAGGGUGGCCUCAGGGGAACCACAGAAUGGAGUUUCCUCCCCAAGAAGGGAACAAAGACUGUGGUGACUUUCAUAUGUUGGUUUUACAAUGAAAUUAUUUCAUAAUGUGUUCUUUUCAUAAUACUUUAUAAUGUUUCUGUUUUUCUGGUGAACUUCACUUAGCUACAUGGAAUAAAAACAAUAAACCUAAGACUUUGACUUAACCUUGGCUAAAAUUAAAAAAGAAAGGAACCAAGGUCACCAUAUACUUGAUGAGAAGCCUUAGGAAGAAAUAACUCACACAAAUACUUUGUGUUUGCUAUUUAUCUCAGUUAAAUGAGAAAGCAAAGGUUAGAAAAUACUUGGCUCCUUGUGCCCACAGAGCGUAGCACUGCUGGAGACCCACCACUGGAAGCGGCAGGUGGUUUCAGAUUAUAUUUAUGGCCUUUUCUGCUCACUGACUUGAAGCUCUUCUCUUUAGUAUGUUUUUAAGAAAUGGCAAAGAGGGCGCAGGGUAUGUUACAAGUUAACUGGAAAGGCUGGUUUAAUUUCUACGAGUAUGAUUAUUAACUAUGAGGUGCUGCCUGUAAAUCACCAGUAGAAAUAAUAUCUGUUCAUUUUCUAUAAAUAAUGUUUGUAGCAGGAAGAUCAAUAUUCUCUUCUCAGUUGUAAACGAACAGCACUGUUGAUGUGAGCUCACCACAGUCUCUCCUGUUCUCACUCCUGCCUCCUCUGGACUAAAUUCCUACUUACCCCCUGGACCCUUGUCUUCAACUUGUCGAUGUUUCAACCAGCUUUCAUGAGUGUUUCUAGCAGAUUCAAAUCUAAACAAAAUUCUAAGUUUGAUCUGUCCCUCAGUUAUAGACUAAUAUGUGAAUGUGAGUGAAUCUUGUUAAUAGUGAACAUUUACUUCAAGUGUUUCAGUCACUACAUUAAGUAUCAUAAUAAUUCUCUCCAGUAGAUUGUAUUGGUUCCUUGUUGUACAGAUGAGGAAUCUGAGGGUCAGAAAAAUUAUGUAGCUUUGCAAGAUCUGGUAGUUAAUACAUGAUAGGGCUAGAGCUUGGGUCUUGGUAUCUAACUACAACAUCCAAAUUAAAAUUUGGAAUCGUGGUUCCUGAUUCAGAUUUUUUUAAAAAAGAAGACAAAAAUGGUGGUCCCAUCUGUAGGAGAUACUUUUGUUGUAAUUACUGCUUACAAUCUCUUUAAAAAUGUUGAAAACUCCAUUUAAGACUAUACAUUAAAUCAAAUUCUCGGUUUAGUUUCAUUCAUUUAACUACAUAUAAACAUGCAAUUUAAAGACUCAAAAUCUGUUACCCAUAAACCUCGAUGCAUCCUGUUUUUUAACACCCCAAGAAACUCUUCGUGACUCAGACACUCAUCACCAUCUAAAUCGAAGAUCUUGAAGACGGUGUCCAGAAUAUUGUUGGACAGCUCCUGUCCUGUUGCUACUUUGACUGCUCUCUUGAACUCCGCUGAAGGGAGAAAAUAUAAAAACUCAUCAACCACAUAAAAUAGUCUAAGUCUAAAUUUUUAUUAUUUGAGAAGUAAAAACAACUCUAUUUAUUUAUCAUUUGGGAAGUAAAACAACACAAAUACUCAUCAAGAAUGUGUUCAAAUAAUAAAUUAAAUAUGGCUGAGAAACGUCAGCAGGCUAUUUUAAUCUAAUCAGUGUUUUGAAUAUACAUUUAAAUAUUUCCUUCUCCUUCUCAGGGAGAAAAAUAAGAAAGCAAAAGCAAAAUUAAUUGUUAAUAAAUUGUUUGGCAAAUGGUUGUAAAUCUAGAAUAACCACACUGAAUUAACUGAAAGGCCAAUCAAUUGUUUUUCUGGUAAGUGGUCCCUGGACUGGUAUCAAUCAGUUAAAGAACAGGGUGACAGUAUUCAUAGAUAGUAAAAAUUAAGUGACUCACAUAACUUACCUAGUCUGACAGGACGAUGAGCUAAACUAAACAUCUGCAUGGCAAUAGCGAAGUCUUCCAAGUGGGUUGCAAAAUGACAAAAUGACUUGAACUCUUCCAAACUAAUGUUCUAAAAGAACAACAAAGUGAGAUUUUAUUACAACUUUGUAAACUUAUUCAACAAUGUUAUGACUAUAACUGUGUGUCCUCUUUUCUAUCAUGAAGUCUAUGAAUGUAGUCUAUCCAAGUCUGGGAUAGACCCAACUGAGCACAAAUGUGUGGAUUUUAGAGAUUAGGAGGAACCCUCAGAUUAAGUGCAGGGCCCUGGAUGUGCCAGUGCAGACUGAACACUGCAAGGCUGGGGGCAUGUGUCACAGGCCCGCUAUCUCCCCUCAAAGGUCCUGAGUGAAUUAAACCCUCUGCACAUCUAUGUUCAUCGGGCACUUGUGGAUUUCUCGUGUCCCUGCUGUCUCUGCUCCGGUGUCUGAAGGGCUGCCAGGUGACCUGAUGCUGGGGGGCAAUUCUCAGUGGGUCUUCUGAGCUUCUCACAUCUCGUAGACAGAGGCCCAGCCACUAUUCUACUCCAGGGUCUUUCCAGGGUAUCUGCAUAGUGAACAGCCUGGAGCAGACACAGUUGUCUCCCUCAGAGCAGGGGCGACCGCACCUACUGUCCCUCAUGAAGGAUUUGGGCUCCUCGGCUGUGGCGUAAACCCACCUCAUGGGCCCUGGGGGACAGAUGUGGUGCCUGGGCGGCCUCCAGACUACAGACAAUAACCUUCUCUGGCUCUGACCUGGCAGGUUUGGGUCUUCUGUUGGCACCCAGGAAGUGACACAGGCUAACUUGCAGAGACAAAAUCUCCAUUAGUAAUUAACACACUGCUAUCUGAGAUCCCAUUUUCUACAUUAAAUAUGGUAGAAUGUCAGACCCUUGGGUGGUCUUGAUUUUUAAAGAUCUCAUCAUAUAAAUUAAAGAAAUUGGUCUAUUACUUGUGAUGCCACUAAUUCCUCCAUUUUGUUAAUUUUUCCUUUUGAUUUUGAUAAUUUGGGGGGGAGUGAGGAAGGCAACAGAUUUCUAUAUUUUAUGCAGUAAUUUAAUAAUUUCAACAUAAGGCUUUUGGGUUUUACUUAGUACGUAUACCCACUCUCAGAGAUUGUUUCCAAGUUUUCUUCCAUACUUACUCAGUUUUCUCUUUAACUUUAGUUCUUUGAUCCACCUCAAGUUUAUUUCUGAGUCAUGAGGGAGGCAGAGGUCACCUUCAUUUCUCCCUCAGAUACCCAGUGAAUUACCCCAGUUCCAUUUAUUUAGUUUUUUUAUGCAACCAAUUUAUAAUCUGAGUUUACACAUACUAAAUUUCUGUAUUUGUAUCUAUCUCUGACUUUAUUUUCUGUUCAACUUAUUUGUCAAAUUCAUUGUCAGUCACACUGUUUUAGUUCUGAUGUUUGGUGCUGUAUUUUAAUAUCUCAGCUUUCUUUUUUAAAAAGACUUAAUUUUUUUUUAGAGCAGUUUUGGGCUCACAGCAAAAUUAUAGGGAAGGUGCAGAGGUUUCCCUGUCCCUUAGCCCCCUCAGCAGUGUCACACAGACUUGUGGCUUGUCUGGCUCCCUCCCAAGAAUUCGAGACUGUUUUAUGGAUGUCAGUUGGUGGUCACGGUACCUGGUACACCCCUGAGCCCUGUGCACUCAGGACCACACAGCUCUGCCUCCCUUCAGUUAGCUAGGGCCUU